rnacentral:rRNA from 4 species
AUAGAGUCAAGUGAAUAAGUGCAUCAGGCGGAUGCCUUGGCGAUGAUAGGCGACGAAGGACGUGUAAGCCUGCGAAAAGCGCGGGGGAGCUGGCAAUAAAGCUAUGAUUCCGCGAUGUCCGAAUGGGGAAACCCACUGCAUUCUGUGCAGUAUCCUAAGUUGAAUACAUAGGCUUAGAGAAGCGAACCCGGAGAACUGAACCAUCUAAGUACCCGGAGGAAAAGAAAUCAACCGAGAUUCCGCAAGUAGUGGCGAGCGAACGCGGAGGAGCCUGUACGUAAUAACUGUCGAGAUAGAAGAACAAGCUGGGAAGCUUGACCAUAGCGGGUGACAGUCCCGUAUUCGAAAUCUCAACAGCGGUACUAAGCGUACGAAAAGUAGGGCGGGACACGUGAAAUCCUGUCUGAAUAUGGGGGGACCAUCCUCCAAGGCUAAAUACUCAUCAUCGACCGAUAGUGAACCAGUACCGUGAGGGAAAGGCGAAAAGAACCCCGGGAGGGGAGUGAAACAGAACCUGAAACCUGAUGCAUACAAACAGUGGGAGCGCCCUAGUGGUGUGACUGCGUACCUUUUGUAUAAUGGGUCAACGACUUACAUUCAGUAGCGAGCUUAACCGGAUAGGGGAGGCGUAGGGAAACCGAGUCUUAAUAGGGCGAUGAGUUGCUGGGUGUAGACCCGAAACCGAGUGAUCUAUCCAUGGCCAGGUUGAAGGUGCCGUAACAGGUACUGGAGGACCGAACCCACGCAUGUUGCAAAAUGCGGGGAUGAGCUGUGGGUAGGGGUGAAAGGCUAAACAAACUCGGAGAUAGCUGGUUCUCCCCGAAAACUAUUUAGGUAGUGCCUCGAGCAAGACACUGAUGGGGGUAAAGCACUGUUAUGGCUAGGGGGUUAUUGCAACUUACCAACCCAUGGCAAACUCAGAAUACCAUCAAGUGGUUCCUCGGGAGACAGACAGCGGGUGCUAACGUCCGUUGUCAAGAGGGAAACAACCCAGACCGCCGGCUAAGGUCCCAAAUGAUAGAUUAAGUGGUAAACGAAGUGGGAAGGCACAGACAGCCAGGAUGUUGGCUUAGAAGCAGCCAUCAUUUAAAGAAAGCGUAAUAGCUCACUGGUCGAGUCGUCCUGCGCGGAAGAUGUAACGGGGCUCAAAUCUAUAACCGAAGCUGCGGAUGCCGGUUUACCGGCAUGGUAGGGGAGCGUUCUGUAGGCUGAUGAAGGUGCAUUGUAAAGUGUGCUGGAGGUAUCAGAAGUGCGAAUGUUGACAUGAGUAGCGAUAAAGCGGGUGAAAAGCCCGCUCGCCGAAAGCCCAAGGUUUCCUACGCAACGUUCAUCGGCGUAGGGUAAGUCGGCCCCUAAGGCGAGGCAGAAAUGCGUAGUCGAUGGGAAACAGGUUAAUAUUCCUGUACUUGAUUCAAAUGCGAUGUGGGGACGGAGAAGGUUAGGUUGGCAAGCUGUUGGAAUAGCUUGUUUAAGCCGGUAGGUGGAAGACUUAGGCAAAUCCGGGUUUUCUUAACACCGAGAAGUGAUGACGAGUGUCUACGGACACGAAGCAACCGAUACCACGCUUCCAGGAAAAGCCACUAAGCUUCAGUUUGAAUCGAACCGUACCGCAAACCGACACAGGUGGGCAGGAUGAGAAUUCUAAGGCGCUUGAGAGAACUCGGGAGAAGGAACUCGGCAAAUUGAUACCGUAACUUCGGGAGAAGGUAUGCCCUCUAAGGUUAAGGACUUGCUCCGUAAGCCCCGGAGGGUCGCAGAGAAUAGGUGGCUGCGACUGUUUAUUAAAAACACAGCACUCUGCCAACACGAAAGUGGACGUAUAGGGUGUGACGCCUGCCCGGUGCCGGAAGGUUAAUUGAAGAUGUGCAAGCAUCGGAUCGAAGCCCCGGUAAACGGCGGCCGUAACUAUAACGGUCCUAAGGUAGCGAAAUUCCUUGUCGGGUAAGUUCCGACCCGCACGAAUGGCGUAACGAUGGCCACACUGUCUCCUCCCGAGACUCAGCGAAGUUGAAGUGGUUGUGAAGAUGCAAUCUACCCGCUGCUAGACGGAAAGACCCCGUGAACCUUUACUGUAGCUUUGCAUUGGACUUUGAAGUCACUUGUGUAGGAUAGGUGGGAGGCUUGGAAGCAGAGACGCCAGUCUCUGUGGAGUCGUCCUUGAAAUACCACCCUGGUGUCUUUGAGGUUCUAACCCAGACCCGUCAUCCGGGUCGGGGACCGUGCAUGGUAGGCAGUUUGACUGGGGCGGUCUCCUCCCAAAGCGUAACGGAGGAGUUCGAAGGUUACCUAGGUCCGGUCGGAAAUCGGACUGAUAGUGCAAUGGCAAAAGGUAGCUUAACUGCGAGACCGACAAGUCGGGCAGGUGCGAAAGCAGGACAUAGUGAUCCGGUGGUUCUGUAUGGAAGGGCCAUCGCUCAACGGAUAAAAGGUACUCCGGGGAUAACAGGCUGAUUCCGCCCAAGAGUUCAUAUCGACGGCGGAGUUUGGCACCUCGAUGUCGGCUCAUCACAUCCUGGGGCUGUAGUCGGUCCCAAGGGUAUGGCUGUUCGCCAUUUAAAGUGGUACGUGAGCUGGGUUUAAAACGUCGUGAGACAGUUUGGUCCCUAUCUGCAGUGGGCGUUGGAAGUUUGACGGGGGCUGCUCCUAGUACGAGAGGACCGGAGUGGACGAACCUCUGGUGUACCGGUUGUAACGCCAGUUGCAUAGCCGGGUAGCUAAGUUCGGAAGAGAUAAGCGCUGAAAGCAUCUAAGCGCGAAACUCGCCUGAAGAUGAGACUUCCCUUGCGGUUUAACCGCACUAAAGGGUCGUUCGAGACCAGGACGUUGAUAGGUGGGGUGUGGAAGCGCGGUAACGCGUGAAGCUAACCCAUACUAAUUGCCCGUGAGGCUUGACUCUAU